UACGGGGGGGGGUAAGCGUUGUUCGGAAUUACUGGGCGUAAAGGGCUCGUAGGCGGCCAACUAAGUCAGACGUGAAAUCCCUCAGCUUAACUGGGGAACUGCCUCUGAUACUGAGGAGCUCGAGUCCGGGAGAGGUGAGUGGAACUCCGAGUGUAGAGGUGAAAUUCGUAGAUAUUCGGAAGAACACCAGUGGCGAAGGCGGCUCACUGGCCCGGUACUGACGCUGAGGUGCGAAAGCGUGGGGAGCAAACAGG
rnacentral:rRNA from 1 species